GACGAACGCUGGCGGCGUGCUUAACACAUGCAAGUCGAACGGUGAAGCGCUUUCCUUUUUGGUUGGUGUGGAUGAGUGGCGAACGGGUGAGUAACACGUGAGUAACCUGCCCCCUUCUUCUGGAUAACCGCAUGAAAGUGUGGCUAAUACGGGAUAUUCUGCGCCUGCUGCAUGGUGGGUGUGGGAAAGAUUGUGCCUUUGGGUGUUUUCGGUGGGGGAUGGGCUCGCGGCCUAUCAGCUUGUUGGUGGGGUGAUGGCCUACCAAGGCGGUGACGGGUAGCCGGCCUGAGAGGGUGGACGGUCACACUGGGACUGAGACACGGCCCAGACUCCUACGGGAGGCAGCAGUGGGGAAUAUUGCACAAUGGGCGCUAGCCUGAUGCAGCGACGCCGCGUGAGGGAGGGAGGCCUUCGGGGUGUGAACCUCUUUCGCCAGUGAAGCAGGCCUGCUCCUUGUGGGUGGGUUGACGGUAGCUGGAUAAGAAGCGCCGGCUAACUACGUG
rnacentral:rRNA from 1 species